rnacentral:rRNA from 1 species
UGAGUAACCUGCCCUUAACUCUGGGAUAAGCCUGGGAAACUGGGUCUAAUACCGGAUAUGACUCCUCAUCGCAUGGUGGGGGGUGGAAAGCUUUAUUGUGGUUUUGGAUGGACUCGCGGCCUAUCAGCUUGUUGGUGAGGUAAUGGCUCACCAAGGCGACGACGGGUAGCCGGCUGAGAGGGUGACCGGCCACAUUGGGACUGAGACACGGCCCAGACUCCUACGGGAGCAG